rnacentral:rRNA from 1 species
CGAGUCCGAGUCUCCACGGAGACGAAGUGGCGGUCAUCCAGCUUCCUAGAAAAGCUCUAACCACGUUAAUCUUUAGUUGCCUGUACCCGAAACCGACACAGGUAGGGGGGUAGAGAAUACCAAGGGGCGCGAGAUAACUCUCUCUAAGGAACUCGGCAAAAUGACCCCGUAACUUCGGGAGAAGGGGUACCACUGAGAAGUGGUCGCAGUGAAGAGGCCCAGGCGACUGUUUACCAAAAACACAGGUCUCCGCCAAGUCGCAAGACGAAGUAUGGGGGCUGACGUCUGCCCAGUGCCGGAAGGUUAAGGAAGUGGGUUAGGGAUUCGUCCCGAAGCUGACGACUGAAGCCCCGGUGAACGGCGGCCGUAACUAUAACGGUCCUAAGGUAGCGAAAUUCCUUGUCGGGUAAGUUCCGACCCGCACGAAAGGCGUAACGAUCUGGGCGCUGUCUCGGAGAGAGGCUCGGCGAAAUAGGAAUGUCUGUGAAGAUACGGACUACCUGCACCUGGGCAGAAAGACCCUAUGAAGCUUUACUGUAGCUUGGAAUUGGGUUCGGGCUUGGUUUGCGCAGGAUAGGUGGGAGGCGAAGAAGAUUUGCUUGUGGGUGAAUCUGAGCCAACGGUGAGAUACCACUCUAACCAGGCUAGAAUUCUAACUUCAACCCGUCAACCGGGGGAAGGACAGUUUCAGGUGGGCAGUUUGACUGGGGCGGUCGCCUCCUAAAAGAUAACGGAGGCGCACAAAGGUUCCCUCAGGCUGGUUGGAAAUCAGCCAACGAGUGCAAAGGCAGAAGGGAGCUUGACUGCGAGACCUACAAGUCAAGCAGGGUGGAAACACGGUCUUAGUGAUCCGACGGCACCGAGUGGAAGGGCCGUAGCUCAACGGAUAAAAGUUACUCUAGGAUAACAGGCUGAUCUCCCCCAAGAGUUCACAUCGACGGGGAGGUUUGGCACCUCGAUGUCGGCUCAUCGCAACCUGGGGCGGAAGUACGUCCCAAGGGUUGGGCUGUUCGCCCAUUAAAGCGGUACGUGAGCUGGGUUCAGAACGUCGUGAGACAGUUCGGUCCAUAUCCGGUGUAGGCGCAAGAACAUUGAGAGGAGUCUUCCUUAGUACGAGAGGACCGGGAAGAACGCACCGCUGGUGUACCUGUUAUCGUGCCAACGGUAAACGCAGGGUAGCCAAGUGCGGAGUGGAUAACCGCUGAAAGCAUCUAAGUGGGAAGCCCACCUCAAGAUGAGUGUUCUCAUGGAGUAAUCCAGUAAGGUCACGGGAAGACGACCCGUUGAUAGGCGGUAGGUGGAAGUUCAGCAAUGGAUGAAGCCGAGCCGUACUAACAGACCGAGGGCUUGAC